UACGAAGGGGGCUAGCGUUGCUCGGAAUCACUGGGCGUAAAGCGCACGUAGGCGGACUCUUAAGUCAGGGGUGAAAUCCUGGAGCUCAACUCCAGAACUGCCUUUGAUACUGGCAGGCUUGAAUCCGGGAGAGGGAUGUGGAAUUCCAGGUGUAGCGGUGAAAUGCGUAGAUAUCUGGAGGAACACCGGUGGCGAAGGCGGCAUCCUGGACCGGUAUUGACGCUGAGGCGCGAAAGCGUGGGGAGCAAACAGG
rnacentral:rRNA from 1 species